rnacentral:rRNA from 1 species
UACAGAGGUCUCAAGCGUUGUUCGGAUUCACUGGGCGUAAAGCGCGUGUAGGCGGUCCGUUAAGUCUGAUGUGAAAGCCCGGGGCUCACCCCCGGAAGUGCAUUGGAAACUGACGAACUCGAGUCCCGGAGAGGAGGGUGGAAUUCCGUGGUGUAGCGGUGAAAUGCGUAGAUAUCAGGAGGAACACCGGUGGCGAAGGCGGCCCUCUGGACGGUGACUGACGCUGAGACGCGAAAGCGUGGGGAGCAAACAGG